rnacentral:rRNA from 1 species
CGUAUCACCCAAGACAACUUUACGGAGUUGACGAUUGACGGAGCGAAGCGACGUCAAAGCGUUCAUUAAAGUCGAGUUGGCUUAGGGAUACGUUCGUUGGGUAGGGGAGCGUUCUGUAAGCCUGUGAAGGUGUGUCGUGAGGCAUGCUGGAGGUAUCAGAAGUGCGAAUGCUGACAUAAGUAACGAUAAAGCGGGUGAAAAGCCCGCUCGCCGGAAGACCAAGGGUUCCUGUCCAACGUUAAUCGGGGCAGGGUGAGUCGACCCCUAAGGCGAGGCCGAAAGGCGUAGUCGAUGGGAAACGGGUUAAUAUUCCCGUACUUGGUGUUACUGCGAAGGGGGGACGGAGAAGGCUAUGUUGGCCGGGCGACGGUUGUCCCGAUUUAAGCGUGUAGGUGUGUGUUCCAGGUAAAUCCGGUUCACUUUAACACUGAGGCGUGACGACGAGGCACUACGGUGCUGAAGCAAC